rnacentral:rRNA from 1 species
UACGGGGGGAGCAAGCGUUGUUCGGAUCUACUGGGCGUAAAGGGCGGGUAGGCGGCCACCGCAAGUCAGUUGUGAAAUCUCUGGGCUUAACCCAGAAAGGUCAACUGAUACUGCGGGGCUAGAGUGCAGAAGGGGCAACUGGAAUUCUCGGUGUAGCGGUGAAAUGCGUAGAUAUCGAGAGGAACACCUGCGGCGAAGGCGGGUUGCUGGGCUGACACUGACGCUGAACUGCGAAAGCUAGGGGAGCGAACGGG